rnacentral:rRNA from 1 species
GACGAACCGUGCGAACGUUAUUCGGAAUCACUGGGCUUAAAGCGCGUGUAGGCGGGCCGCCCCGUCGGCUGCUGAAAUCCCCCGGACUCACCGGGGAAGUGGCACCGAUACGAGCGGCCUCGAGGGGGGUAGGGGGGGUCUGGGAACUUCCGGGUGGGAGCGGGUGAAAUGCGUUUGAGAUCGGAAGGAACGCCCGUGGCGAAAGCGAGGCCCUGGACCCUACUGACGCUGAGACGCGAAAGCCAGGGGAGCGAACGGGG